rnacentral:lncRNA from 1 species
CCCCGCAGGUCCGGAAUGGUGAUAGUCUCCAGCUCUUGCUCCAGAAAGCGCAGCCCCUCCUGCUUCACUGAAGCAGCAGAGAAACCCUUACUUAGCUCCCGUGCCCACUGUUGGGGCGACCCCAACCCCGUCCGCUCCCGUCCGUCCCUGUCUGCCCCUGCGCCUUACCCAGCUCCAGCGCCUUGGAGGUGACGCGGAUCUUGCAGCCUGGGAACUCUGCAUGUGCGCCUGCCAGCAGCGCUAGGAAGAGGGCCCCGAAGAGGGCCAUGGCGAGCGGGCCUGGGGGUGGGGUGGGGUCGCAGGAGUUAUCUGAGCCGCUUAAACCCAUUCCUUGGACGUCCAACCAUAAGUGGGAACUAGCCUGGAUCGUUACCCUCCAGAUAACUCUUCGGGGAACUUGGAACCAAUAAUCUUGCCUCCAUAUGGCAGAUGUGGAAACUGAGGCUCAGAGAGGCGAUGCGACUUGCGUUCUGGCUCCCAGAGGAUUUGGGACACGGGGGAGGGGACGUUCCCAGUUCCCUCGUGCUACCGCCGCGUGAUGAGUUUGGACCUCCAGGGGACCAGCCCCCACACCCCCAACAACCUCCCCUUUCCUUUAGCGGUGGGCCCAUGCAGGCUUGCACGUUGCCACGGCAACGACUGCACGCGCAUUCUUGGAGGGUGGCUUGCGGUCUCCUAGGCCUCGCGCCCGGGGAGGAGAGGAGGUGGCCGACCAGACCGUGGGCUCCCGGGUCUCCCGGCUCCCUCAGGUCCUAAAUCUCUCCCAUUAGAGAUUCUGCCUGGAGCCCCCAUGUUAGCGUUCUCCUUCAUCG